rnacentral:rRNA from 1 species
CCUACGGGAGGCAGCAGUGAGGAAUAUUGGUCAAUGGGCGUAAGCCUGAACCAGCCAAGUCGCGUGAGGGAUGAAGGUUCUAUGGAUCGUAAACUUCUUUUAUCAGGGAAUAAAGUGUGGGACGUGUCCUAUUUUGUAUGUACCUUAUGAAUAAGGAUCGGCUAACUCCGUGCCAGCAGCCGCGGUAAUACGGAGGAUCCGAGCGUUAUCCGGAUUUAUUGGGUUUAAAGGGUGCGUAGGCGGCCUUUUAAGUCAGCGGUGAAAGUCUGUGGCUCAACCAAAGAAUUGCCGUUGAAACUGGGGGGCUUGAGUAUGUGUGAGGCAGGCGGAAUGCGUGGUGUAGCGGUGAAAUGCUUAGAUAUCGCGCAGAACCCCGAUUGCGAAGGCAGCCUGCCAGGCCAUGACUGACGCUGAUGCACGAAAGCGUGGGGAUCAAACAGGAUUAGAUACCCCUGUAGUC